rnacentral:tRNA from 2 species
GCCGCCAUAGCUCAGUGGUUAGAGCAUUGGUCUUGUAAACCAAGGGUCGUGAGUUCAAUUCUCACUGGCAGCU